CAUGAAUAUUCAAAUCGUAUAUUGGACCCUAUACCCUAAGAUAAGAAGACCGGAAAUCCCUUGCGAUGCUUUCAAAGAAACUAAAUGUUCCUUUUUUUCUUACUCUCCGACCCUUUUUUUUGCACCGAAAUUUUGCUAAUGGAAUGUAGAUUACAGGAUAAGUUGUCGACUUGCUUACUCGACACUCCACACGCCUCACCUGCAGAAAAGAGCCUAAUAUUGGCCCCACAUGGCACUCCCCGCGUGGCACUCCGAACCACAAGUUGAUUUUUUUUUUACUCGCUGGCACGGAAAGAAGAGCUCAUCGAGAACCACUUGAAAUCAGACCGAAAUAAGAUUUAUUGGAGCUUCCUGCUUUGCUGUUCUCAAAAAAGAGCUGGUCUACUAAAAGGAUGAGGAACUUCAUAGCCCUAUUGGUGGUACAACUGCUCUCCGUUGUCAACCGAGGCGCCUCUGAGACCUUCAUUGAAAAAUAUAAUGCAUGGGCCAGUAAUUUGGAUCCCGGAUUCAUGAUCGAAACUUACGUGAUAGAGGGAAGAAAGUGCUACUGCAAAGUUCCAAACACAACAUGCGUGUCGACCACCGCUACAGUUCCGACUACAGACUCGAAUAUCAUAACCACUACAACA